GGACAGAUGAGAGUGGGAGGAAUAGUAUAAUGCCAACUUAGAAAUUGUGAUGAUUUUUUCUAUAUGCUGUAGGCACAAGUUGAUUUGCUCUCAUUCAAUUAGUCAAGAAAACCUCAUAAGUCAAAGCUUCUCAAGGAUUUGAUUGUUCAGAUACAUUGUAGAAGCCCUGGAGAUGCUAUUGAUGUCCAUGGCAAAAGAUGGCACUGAGGCUCUUGGGCUCAAUGGGAAAUGAUGCUCCUUUGGCUGUGAUGUCCAACAGAGAGAAACUUACAUUUGAGUAUUUCAAGCAGAUGUUUGCUCAGGUAACAAACCCACCGAUUGAUCUGAUCCGAGAGAAAAUAGUCACGUGGAAGGGGACCUUACUGAAAUAGUUCAUGUGGAAGGCUAUGUGGCAGUUUGUUUGUUUUGAAAACUUUCAAUAGACCAUUAAUUGUUUUGUUGGUAUUGUGCUGAUUGUUGUCUUGAUGGAUGUUAAAUGGGUGAAACAUGCACAGGUUCAAUGAUUGGUUGAUUAUAAUAUUGUUAGCUUUUGUUGAUAGAAACUA